UACAGAGGGUGCGAGCGUUAAUCGGAAUUACUGGGCGUAAAGCGUGCGUAGACGGUAGCGUAAGUCAGAUGUGAAAGCCCCGGGCUCAACCUGGGAAUUGCAUUCGAGACUGCAAGGCUAGGGUGCGGAAGAGGGAAGCGGAAUUUCCGGUGUAGCGGUGAAAUGCGUAGAUAUCGGAAGGAACAUCAGUGGCGAAAGCGGCUUCCUGGUCCAGCACCGACGUUCAGGCACGAAAGCGUGGGGAGCAAACAGG
rnacentral:rRNA from 1 species